rnacentral:lncRNA from 1 species
GUGACUAGGGAAGGGAAAUUAGGAGAGGGGACAGAAAGGGGUGAUAAAUAAUGAAUUAAAUUAAGAUUUAGACAUCAUAUGAGAAUAAGUCACACAUAUAUAUAGAUAAUAACGAGUAAUCGGUCCUGAGUAUCCGAUUUAAGUGUUUAUACAAUAACUUGAUUUGACAAUCCAACAUAAUAGGAUAAACUGCAUCAUAACUGAGUGUUCGCAGCGGAAAUGAGAACGUGAUACAUGUAUGAAGACAUGUAUCGCCAAGAGUUUAUUUAGUAAAUAUGACAAAGCUCCGUACGACACCCCAUCAUCACUCAUCACUGCUCAACCUGCACAUUUAGAAAUACAUGCAGGGCUGAGUACAAAGUACUCAGUAGACAUAUGCCGAAAAUCAUAUACAU